rnacentral:rRNA from 1 species
AUUAAACGCUGGCGGCAUGCCUUACACAUGCAAGUCGAACGGCAGCACGGGGGCAACCCUGGUGGCGAGUGGCGGACGGGUGAGUAAAGCAUCGGAACGUAUCCUGGAGUGGGGGGAUAAUGUAGCGAAAGUUACGCUAAUACCGCAUAUUCUGUGAGCAGGAAAGCAGGGGAUCGCAAGACCUUGCGCUCUGGGAGCGGCCGAUGUCGGAUUAGCUAGUUGGUGGGGUAAAGGCCUACCAAGGCGACGAUCCGUAGCGGGUCUGAGAGGAUGAUCCGCCACACUGGGACUGAGACACGGCCCAGACUCCUACGGGAGGCAGCAUGGGGAAUUUUGGACAAUGGCGGAAGCCUGAUCCAGCCAUGCCGCGUGAGUGAAGAAGGCCUGGUGUAAG